AGUGAACGCUGGCGGUAGGCCUAACACAUGCAAGUCGAACGGAAGCACAGUAAGAGCUCGCUCCUACGGGUGGCGAGUGGCGGACGGGUGAGGCAUACAUCGGAAUCUACUUUUUCGUGGGGGAUAACGUAGGGAAACUUACGCUAAUACCGCAUAUGACCUACGGGUGAAAGCAGGGGAUCUUCGGACCUUGCGCGAUAGAAUGAGCUGACGUCGGAUUAGCUAGUUGGCGAGGUAAAGGCCCACCAAGGCGACGAUACGUAGCUGGUCUGAGAGGAUGAUCAGCCACACUGGAACUGAGACACGGUCCAGACUCCUACGGGAGGCAGCAGUGGGGAAUAUUGGACAAUGGGCGAAAGCCUGAUCCAGCCAUACCGCGUGGGUGAAGAAGGCCUUCGGGUUGUAAAGCCCUUUUGUUGGGAAAGAAAAACAGCAGGUGAAUACCCCGCUGUUCUGACGGUACCCAAAGAAUAAGCACCGGCUAACUUCGUG
rnacentral:rRNA from 1 species